CGCGAGAGCGCUGUGACGAAGCUACCGCGGCCCCGCAGGCGUGAGGGAGGGGAGGGGGUGCGGCUGCCGGCUGCCAGCGGAGGGCUUGGCGGGGCCAUCCAGUAGGGGAGCGGGAAGGAGCUUUACGGAGCGUUUGAUCUAACACGGGGAUGAUUAACAAAGAUGGACAACAGCAUUAUAGUCACUUUGGGCAGCUGAAGCUGACCACGUAAGUGCAGCAUACCAAGUCAGGCGAGGAAGGGGCAUAAAAUUUGCCCUCUGAAAAAAAAAGAGAAGAAACACCCCUCACUUGCAGAAAGAAAAUUCUGACUGGGAAAUACCAGGGAGCUUGUAUGAAAAGCAGUAAGACAAACAGAUCUGAUCUCUUUGUGGCCCAUGUCAAAAUUCCUCUGGAUGGCAGCAAGACUGGGAUCCAACUGGAAUCACGCAGAUGCAGCUGCCAGGAAACACGAGUAACCUGUGUGCAUGACUACCUUUGUGUUUACACUUCGUGCAUCUUCCAGCAAUGCACCUCUUUUUGGGACAGGGCAGUUUUUAAGUCUGAUCCUCUCAGUGUGCUGCUGGUUGUGCACCCACACAAACGGGGGAACCAGCUGGACACAGGUCUCGCCAACUCUUUCUGAGAUGUGUUGCAGAUGGAGCACAGAGACUCUCAGACUCUAAGGUGAUAUAUGAAUCCUGAGGCAAAAGAAGACCUGAACCCAAACAAUCAACUGAGGCUUUUACCAUCUGACCAACUUCCUCUACAGUCUUACUGGAUGAUAAUGAAAAAUAAGUGGUUCAUUUCACCAAUAAUCUAAUAAUACAGAAUUUGUAUUAUAUGCAUAUGCGUACACAUGCAAAAGAUAGAAAUUUGUUUGUAUUUUUUUAGGUAAUAUUUAUGACCUAAUGACUUUUUAUGUAAUAUAUGCACUGCUUCUGUAGAUACAAAUUAUAGAUAGACAUAUGCUUUUAAAAUGUGCUAGUAUGACACUUGUAUGACAUGUCUCUCAAUGAAGAAUUAAUAUUUCUUACUUUUUUUCUCCUUUCAUUUCUCAUUGCAAUGCACAAGAAAGCAGUUUCAGCUUAUUUUGGCGGAGGUGCACUUAGAAAUGUGUAGCGUUUAUUUGCAGUACUGCUCUCACAAAAUGUUGCCAUGCUGUGGCACUUCUUUGAAGUUCUUCUCUGAAAGGUUCUUUGCAAAGGCUGUGUAGGAGGCUUUGCAACCGGGAGGUUUGGAAUUGUUUUUCUGAAAAUUAUUCUGAAAAGUCUGUCCUUUUCAAGGUCUUGGCCAGGUGCACAGCUAUUUUCCUCUUUCCAUUUCCUUUAACUCUGCAGCACAGAAUAAUAGGCCCUAUCUGAAAUUUUAUAUAUGUAAUGCAUUGCAGACUCUGCCACAUACUUCCCUUUUCAGCAGGCUUAUUGAACACCAAGGCACUUGCAGUGAUUCUUCUGUCAGCCUAACAUUCAGUCUCUCAGAGAUCAGCCAAACGUAGGGACCAGUUCUACCACCACCACGCUCAUGGUGCUUUCUUUACAUUACAUUCCCAAACGUCAAUGGAUCUCUCAUAAAUUGCUAUGAUCUGUGUCAAGAUAGAGUUCUCAGCAUGUGUCUCAUGCUCACCUGCAUCACCAAACAGCCUCACAAGGAAGGUGUCUCCAUGAAUACUGACCAGCCAGCAACAGCACUGCAGCCAUUCCCCUGAGAGAAAGCUCCCUCCAGUUUUGACCACUGCCACAGAAAGGAGAACGAGAGCCCCCAACGCACUCCAAUGCUAUUCUGCAUGGGAACUCAGCUCAUCACGACACAGAAGAAGAAACACUAGAAACUGACUUGAAACCAGUGCUCUUCACUGUGUUGUCAAGCACAUGUGUCACUAGGCUGGUAGAUUAAACCUAUGUCCAUAAUGAAGAGGAGGAGCCAAGUGGUCCACCAGUAAAGAUCCCAGUCUGCUUCAGUUGGUUCCUUUCCUGAUGGAUGCCACAAAUAUCCUGCACAGAACACAGCACAGACCACGUUAAUGCAGCACACCAGGGUGGCAGUGGCACUCUUCUAAGGCUGUUCCUCCAGGAAGCUCACCAACAUCCUUGCAGGAUCAGUCUGAAGCUACGCUUUGACACUUUGCCUUUUGCAUAGAGAGGCGGCCCUAAGGUUUUUGCAUACAUUGAUACGUACAUGAAAAAGCAGAUACUUGCCCUAGUCCCAGGCACUUGCAGUAAAGAUCCAUAGAGAACUUGAAUAAUCAUAAUUUCUUAGUGCAUUAAAGAGUUCAGACUACAGAAAGAAGACAUUUCCGAGAAACAGAUUUUAUAGACUGAGCUGAACAGAUUUUUGGCAUUAUUUGUAAGCCAGUCAUUGUUAAGCCUUUGUACUUAGAAGAGCAAUUAUGACUCCUUUGGAAACAUCCUUAGUUGAACUCUUAAAAUAAUAAAAACACUCCUCCGUAAGACCACAUUAACAUAUGGUUUUCGUAAUGACAGCACAAACAAAUCACCCACUCAUCAAACACAUUUAGGAAGAAGACAGGAACAAACAGAGCAAAAAUUUUCUAAAGAUUACUUAGAGGUCCUGAUCAGUCAGGGAAAAAAAGAAAAGAAAAAAGUGAACUAAACUGAAUUCAGGUCCUGACUAUAGGAUAUUGAAUACAGACAAAAUAUGCAACAUACAAAUAACCAAAAUCAAGAAUACCACUAAACUUUGUAAGGCAAAAUUUAUAGAUAUUAAGCUGCAAAACUGUAUUUCAAAAAAAUGUCAAGCUGUGGAUGCCUAGCUUCCUAGUUUACUUUUGAACGUUGGUGAUGCAUCAUCAGUAAGCAAGAAAGAGACAAGGUGUGUUUGCACCAGUGACCAGCUGGAAUACCUUUGCUGGACUUACCACCCCCCAGUACUUUGCAGUUAUCAGGAGGAAAUUCACUUAGUGUUACUUCAGCCAAGAAGAGGAACCCCAGAAGAAGCUUUAGGAGGACUCUUCAGAAGCUUGAGGGUUAUGUGAAUGUAUCCUGCUGCAGCCUUACCUGCCACUUAGCACUGGCUUUGUUUAAUAAUUAAAUUGCAGGCGCUGUGGACUCAGCACAUGUUGCUUUGGAGAUGCCUUUGGUUCUUACCUGUGCAGUGAGAAGUUUUUAAACAUUCUUUAUGAGGCUUUGUCUUUUCAUACAUUUUUGUUUGAUCCUUCAGCAAGAGACAGUUUAAACUACUACUGCUUAAUCUUUACGACAGCCAUCCGCUCUCCACCCUUUCUUCCUCGCCUCCAAUAUGGUUUGUGGUGGGAACUCUGAUUUCAUUAGGAUAACAAAUUAAAAUGAAAGAGACUGUUAUAGAAUGAGAGAAUACAAAAUGGAAAUGCAGAAUUUAUAUGGUGAUCCUAAUACAGAAAAAAAUAAAUCAUAAGUAAAUAACAUUUUUCAAAGUUAAGAAAAGUGACAAAGGAAGUUUGAAGACAUUCAGCACACACAAAAAAAACAAACAUCAGAAGUCUCAUUUGGAGAUGGCACUAGACAAAAGAAUAGGUAUUUCUUAGUAUAAUACCUACAGAGAAGAGGAUUGCCAUUUUAACAUCUUCCCAGUGCAUCACAGAUUGGAUUAUGGCACUGCUCUGCCAAGUCAUCAAGAGCUGGGAUAACUCCUGAUGGAAGCAUUUACUUCUGCUCCAAAAAUCACCUGCUUACAGAAGAGUCAUCAUCCCUUCCUCCAGUGCCUGGAGCCACUGGGGUGUCUGAAGGUUAGCAGCUCUCCACUCUCUUACUCCUUGAGUAAGGAGUGAGUUGGUUGUUGUGUUGUGGGGUUUUUUUAUUGUUUGCAAGCUCAGUAUCCCAUGUAUGUUCUCUUGCAAGCUGUGACAGUGAAGUUACCUAUUACAGGUGCUUGAUCAAAUGAUGAAUACACAGGCUGAACUCGCAGUCAUGAAUUAUAGAGCAAAGAAAGAUUUUUUUUUUUUCUUUUGAUCCUCCUUAUGCUCCAAGGAAACUCUUUGCUUCUAAAGAGCUUUUAAAGGUGAACUCAAAAUGUGGCCAGAGUUUAAACUGCUUAACUUUCUUUGAAAAACUGUUCCCUGCAGAUAGCUUGAAGAAAGCACCUCUGAGCAUUUAAUUUGACUGGAUUUUAGGGGGAAGGGGGAUUAUACAGCUACUGAGCUUCAAUAAUAUGUGAUCUUCUCAGGAAGGUCUAACAUGAUUACGCAAACAUCACAUUGGUGCUGGCCAAAAGCCCUCCAAAGCACACUGAAUUGCUGGAGUCAUGAGGUUUCCCUGUCUUUGCACAGAUUGUGAGGUUUGCAGGAGGCAAGAGUAAUCCUGAUGGCACUGUCCAUACUGGCAUCAAGCUGAUCUCACAGGCAGUGCCAGCAGACCCUGUGCAGCCAUACGGCAGGCUCAGCAGCCACCCUAUAGCAUCUGAGGACCUGGCAGAACCAAGCACCCUGCUCGUGGCUGCAGGAGACCUCUUGCACCCUCCACAGUUGACGCCUUCCCACCACAGCUGUCAAUUUCCUGUGUUGGGAACUGGGUGCAUCCUGUCCCCAGAAGAGAGGUACCAGAAUACCCAACCUGCUGAAAAGUCUUAUUCUGGCUGCUUUCCCAAAUCCUUCCUUUCGUCUUGUUACCUGGCCAUGACGCAGCAAAAGUAGGCAAAAGGAUACAAAGCUGCCUGGUGUGCAUGUGUGGUACAUGCAGGUGGGAUCCAAAACAAAUUCAAGGAAGGUCAUGCAAAAAGUGCUGCAAAGGCUUGUGAAACAGGCAACACGAAUGCACCUGAUAUGAUGUGUGGGUAUCCUAAGAGUACAGCACUAAGGGGCAUGGCCAAGAGAAGCAUGCAGAUGUGUUACCAACAAGCAGGAUGAGCCCCAUGGUCAGGGGGACCUCGUGAUAGAGGCAUUAGGUUUGAUGUAGUUGGGCAGCUAACUACAUAGAAUCAUAGUCCCAUGUCCCUCAGUGCCACAUCUCCUCAUUUCCUGAACAGUUCUGGGUACAGUGACUCCAUCACCUCCCAGGGCAGGCAGCAUGAGAUAAAGACACAGAUAACAGAUAGAUAACAAGAUGACACCUAGGCUUCACACCAAAUUCAGCAGUUUGUCAAGGUACACUGAUGUGUUUGAUAAGACAAACUCCACUCAACAAGCAAACCAGUGCUUCUAGACUAGUUUCAAUCUCCAAGCUCAUGCAAACAAAAGUUGCAUGUGGAAUAUAAUGCAGUUGCUAAUACUAAUCUUUAAAAAAGCAUUGAUAAUAUAAACCUCUUAACUCUGAAGGGAAAAUGACAAAAUUGUUGUAUGAGGAAAAUUAUCUGAGAACUGCUCCUGCAUGUUUAUUUAAAAAGAGUGAAAACAAAUAUUAUGAAUUUGAACAACAGAAAUUAGAAAAAUAUCUAAGGCAGCAGGCUCAUGCAAUCCCAGCUCAAUCUUCUGCUUUCCUCCCUUGCCAGAAAGGCAUCUGAGUUGUAAUUCUUGCACAGGCUUAAGAUUGUCUGUCAGGCACUGGAUAAGAAAUGUCAAAGUAUGGGAUGAGACACAAAAGAAGGUUUAAAGGUGGCUAUGAUGACCAUACUGAAAAUCUCUUCUACAGCCUUGUUUACACAGUGAACGAGGGAAACAGAAGGUUGCAGCAGCUACAUAGGGUGCACUGAGGUAGAAGAGUAAAUAAUCAUAAAAAUCUUAUGGGAUCUCCCUGAGAGAGAGAAAUGGAGCCACUGAAAGCCAGACAUACAAACUGCUGUAGGGUUUGCAACUGCGUCAACACUUGUGAAAGUGAAAACAACCGAUAGGUCUGACUGUGUUAGUCCAAGCGCCUUCUCUGUUCUCAUUCAGAUCAUCUGCUACGGGAAUCAGCAUCAUGGAUGCAUAGACUCAGGGAUAAACUCAGACCAAGAAGAGUGAGGAAGACCCAAAAUAUCUCGGUAAAGGAAACAUUUCUGCCAUGUCCAGUCUUGGCUUCAUGAGAGGACACUGGAAGGCAGUUGUUUUUUUUUUUUUUUUUUACUUUUGUUGCAGCUUUUCACUGCUAUUUAUAAGGACUGCACAACAUACUCCAAACUCUUCUUUCAACAACCUGCUAAUGUUAGGGGAAGAAAAAAAAAUUCAUUUAGGAAUAAAAGCCAAAAAGCUUUUCGUUAUUGAUCAGGAAUUCAAUCAAGUAACAUCAUCAACAGCAAAAAAAAAAAAGUAUGUGCUUAAACAUGAACAGUCCAAAGAUGUUAGUUGUCUGUCAAAACAAAUUGUCAGACAUAUUUGUGUUCUACACAGGAAUAGAUUUAUUGAAAAUCUUAAGUGGAAUGUUUGUUUCCACCAUCUACCAAAUAAUGUUCUGUGGGGUUUUGUUCUGAGUACUGAGCAGCUGCAUCGGAAACUUUUUAAUUCAGGGAAGAGUGGCAGUUCCUUUUUGUCUUCUGUGUACCAGCUCUUAGGAAUUCCAGGAAAACUCUAUAAUCCCCAGCUCUCUCUGGCAUGCCACCACCUGAUCAUCACGAUCGCAAACAUUUGUAAUAAAAAUCAGUUAAUAUGCAAGCCACUAUUUUAUAUGCUAUCAUCAAUCCCAGAGGUGGUUUAAGAAGUACCUUCAUGUAGAACCUAUGUUUUUUUUUUUAUUCUUUUUGUGUCUGUUAAGGCUGGUAUAAUCACGAGGUUAAUUAGAAUCUUAAAUGCUUAGUUCCCAUGUUAAGAGAUUUGUCUCUAUUUAAAAAAAAAACAACGUCACAACAAGGGAAAAUGUAGGGUUUUUUUAAUUAUAACUGGCCAUUUUGAAGAAAAUGUCUUGUAUAUUGGAAGCACGAGAGCCCAAAUGAGAGCCUAUAAACAUUUUAAAUAGGAAGUUUCCAAUUUUAUUAUUUAUAACACUUGAACUCCUUUACUUUCAAGACGUUCAUAUUACCACAAAGCUCCUGAAGCCAUAUUUAUCAGGCCAUCUACUUCUAUGUUAUUAGUAUAAAGAUUGUACAGAACUGCACACAAUAAAAAACUAAUAAAAAAACAGUAAAAUAACACUGUGUGGCUU
ensembl:lncRNA